rnacentral:rRNA from 1 species
CAGCAGCCACGGGAAUACGAAGGGGGCUAGCGUUGCUCGGAAUUACUGGGCGUAAAGGGAGCGUAGGCGGACAUUUAAGUCAGGGGUGAAAUCCCAGAGCUCAACUCUGGAACUGCCUUUGAUACUGGGUGUCUUGAGUGUGAUAGAGGUAUGUGGAACUCCGAGUGUAGAGGUGAAAUUCGUAGAUAUUCGGAAGAACACCAGUGGCGAAGGCGACAUACUGGAUCAUUACUGACGCUGAGGCUCGAAAGCGUGGGGAGCAAACAGGAUUAGAUACCCCAGUAGUCCCUGUCUCUUAUAC